rnacentral:misc_RNA from 1 species
AACUGAUACUACCUGCGGGAACCUGCGGAAGGAUCAUUACAUGGCGGAGGAGGUGGGCACCUAGUAAAACAAAACCCUAGGUGUGUUGCCUACCACGCUUUCUACCCUUGUCUAUUUGCACCUUUUGUCGUUCCCUCGGUGGGUCUUGAACCUGCCGGCGGCAACUUUCAAAAACCUUUUGUAGUUAGUAUCUAAUUCUUCUGAUCAAAUAUUCAAUCGUUACAACUUUCAACAAUGGAU